UACAGAGGGGCAAGCGUUAUUCGGAAUUAUUGGGCGUAAAGGGCGCGUAGGCGGCUUGGCAAGUGGAAGGUGAAAUCCCUCGGCUUAACCGAGGAACUGCCCUCCAAACUGCUUCGCUUGAGACCGGGAGAGGUGAGUGGAAUUCCCAGUGUAGCGGUGAAAUGCGUAGAUAUUGGGAGGAACACCAGUGGCGAAGGCGGCUCACUGGACCGGUACUGACGCUGAUGCGCGAAAGCGUGGGAGCAACGGG
rnacentral:rRNA from 1 species